GACGAACGCUGGCGGCGUGCUUAACACAUGCAAGUCGAACGGAAAGGCCCUGCUUUUGUGGGGUGCUCGAGUGGCGAACGGGUGAGUAACACGUGAGUAAACUGCCCUUGACUUUGGGAUAACUUCAGGAAACUGGGGCUCAUACCGGAUAGGAGCUCCUGCUGCAUGGUGGGGGUUGGAAAGUUUCGGCGGUUGGGGAUGGACUCGCGGCUUAUCAGCUUGUUUGUGGGGUAGUGGCUUACCAAGGCUUUGAAGGGUAGCCGGCCUGAGAGGGUGACCGGCGACAUUGGGACUGAGAUACGGCGCAGACUCCUACGGGAGGCAGAAGUGGGGAAUAUUGCACAAUGGGCGGAAGCCUGAUGCAGCAACGCCGCGUGCGGGAUGACGGCCUUCGGGUGGUAAACAGCUUUCGCCUGUGACGAAGCGUGAGUGACGGUAAUGGGUAAAGAAGCACCGGCUAACUACGUG
rnacentral:rRNA from 1 species